CUAAUUAAGGUGUGUUUAGACCAUAUCAGGCCUUAACCCAAAGCCCAAACCUGGCAGUUAGGCUCAAGCAUGAGUCCGAACCCCUAGACUUCUACUAAACCCCCCGAAACGAAAACCCUACACCUCUCCGACCUCCGGCAGCGCCGGCCAUGGCUUUCCUGCUGAAAUCCAAGCCGCCUUCCUCUUCUUCCAUUCUCCCUUGUCUCAUCAAAUCUCUCUCCAACUCCCCGUCUCUCCCCGACUUCGACCAAUCCCCAAGUCCUACCGCCGCCGCGGCGGCGGCGGCCGCCCCAUUCUCCGCCGCCGAGGCCAACCUUCUCGAGAAGCUCCAUGCCCUUAUCAAAGACCACCACCGCGCCAACCCCACCCCCGAUCCCACCGUCGCCCCUGCCCCGGACCUCACGAUCCCCUCCCUCUCCUCCUCCUUCUCGCUCCUCUCGCCCUCCUUCCCCCCUUCCCCCGCCCUCACCUGCGCCCUUCUCGGCCGCCUCUCCUCCCUCCGCCACGGCGUCCCCUUCUCCCAAGCCCUCGCCUUCUUCAACUGGUGGCUCUCCUCCAUUCCUCGCUCCCCCUCCCUCUACCCCGCCUUCGCCGAGCUCAUCGACCUCGCGGGCAAGCUCCACCACUUCGACAUCGCCUGGCACCUGCUCGACAAAAUGCGCUCCCUCGAAAUCCCCAUCCAAAAACAGAUUUUCAUGAGCCUCAUCCGUCGCUACGUCCGCGCCGGCCUCCCCGAGGACGCGGCCCAUGCCUUCGGCCGCAUGCCUGACUACGGCGUCGACCCCGAUCCCCCAACCUUCGCCUCCCUCCUUGCUGUCCUCGCCAAGAAGCGACUUGCAGCUGAGGCCCAGUCCCUCUUCGACUCCUUCAGGCACCGCUUUCCCCCAGACGUCGUCCUCUACACCGCCCUUGUCCACGCCUGGUGCCGCGCCGGCCGGCUUGACGAGGCCGAGCGCGUCUUCGCCGAGAUGCGGGGCCAUGGCAUCACCCCCAAUGUGUACACGUACACUUCCGUGAUUGACUCCAUGUGCCGAGCCGGCCAGAUACCCCGCGCCCACGAGCUCUUCUGCCAGAUGCUUGAUGCCGGGUGCUCGCCCAAUGCUGCGACGUUUAACAGCCUGAUGCAGGCCCACGUCAAGUCUGGGCGAAUGGAGCAGGCGUUGCAGGUGCAUAACCAGAUGAAGCAGCUAGCUUGCGAGCCGGAUAUCAUCACCUACAACCUCCUCAUUGAGGCCCACUGCCAGAAGGGUCAGAAGAACCUCCAUGCUGCACUUAAAGUCCUCAACCAGAUGGCUGCCAAGGGGUGCACCCCAAACUGCCACACUUUCAAUGCCAUUUUCCGCUGCAUUCUUAGUGUCGGGAAUGUAAACACUGCGCACAAGCUUUAUAACCGGAUGAGGGAGCUUGGUUGUCGGCCGAACACUGUCACGUAUAAUCUGCUAAUGCAGCUGUUUGGCAAAGAUAAGUCGAUGGAUAUGAUGCUGAGGAUGAAGCAGGAGAUGGAGGAGGAGGGGAUCGAGCCAAAUGUGAACACAUAUGGGGUGCUUAUAUCGGAAUUCUGUGGGAGAGGGCACUGGAAGCAGGCGUACAAGAUGAUGAGGGAGAUGGUGGAGGAGAAAUGCCUCAAGCCUACGGUGCCUAUGUACGAGGCAUUGCUGGCGCUGCUAAGAAGGGCUGGUCAGCUGAGGAGGCAUGAGGAGCUCGUGGAGAAGAUGGCAGAGAGAGGGUUCAUCUCCAGGCCUUUGUAGGGGCUAAUUUGUUACAAUUAUACAACGGGAAAACGAAGAAAAGAUUUGAAGCUACAAUUAUACAAAGGGAAAACAAAGAAAAGAUUGGAUUUGCUAAUUUUAUAGCAUAACCUCUAUGGAAGGGGAAAAGUUUGAAGUGGGCAAAGAUCAUGGUUCGCUGGAUUCAAGUGCUGGAGUAAAAUUUUCUGUUUCAGACUUCCCCCCUC